UCUCUUCAUGGCCAGGAAGUAACUUGGGAUGAAAUUGAUAGAGGCAUCUUUAGAAACUCAAACCAAAUGAUGCCAUAUCCCACAAUGCUCCUCCGCUAGUCUGAUGAAGAUUUAUAUCCAUAAUUUUCCAUCAAGAAAAAGGUGGAAAGAGAACUCUGCAGAGAUGAGCUCUUAAUUAAUGCACAGGGUCCCUGCGAGUCCCACCUCUCAACAGCAGUGAUUGACAUCCAAGGAUACAUAAAUUACACUAAUUGAGCUUUGCAUCUACGCAAUCUUUCCACAACCAACUCAUCGGAGGAGAAUUCCUCUGUGCCCCACCGGAAUACCUUUUGUCAUAAGCAGAAAACACAGAAAGUGUUCCAAACAGGAAGAGGUAGGACAAAACUUUCCAUUUGUUAGAUUGUUACAAGGCACAUUGUUUUUAGUAACUG